rnacentral:lncRNA from 1 species
CCUGCUUGUCUUGGCUUUCCAGCAGGCAGAAGUCCAGGGACAUGCGGCCGGAAGAACCGGAUUUCAGCCCGGCUGAGUCACCCCAGCAGCCACCUUGUGAUGGAUGUAGCCCGCAGCGGGGAUCCAGCCGCCUCGAAACAGGAGCAUUUCCUUCCAGAGUACGGAAAAUGCUCUUUCAUGAAGACAGAUGGACGCAGUCUGCAGGACCCUGCUUACUCGAGAGAAACCGUCUUUGAAAACUUUUGACAACCAGCGGGGUAGCACGUCUGUUUCUAUUUAAAUGAGCUCAUUACAGUUAAUAUUUUUGUGACUUCCAACCAGUUGUUCAAUCAUUUCUCAAGUGUGAUAUGUUUUAAUCAAAAAUGAAACACUUCAGGACACAGAUAUUGUUAACACCCUGUUUUCACUACAUCUUUUCUGGAACAGAGUUUCUGGAAUAAGGCACUUUUUAAAAAAGGGGGGGAUGGUACUUAUGAUAUUUCUUUGUUGGCUGGAAUAAAGCAAGUGGAAUAAUAAACAGGCCCCAAGUUACUGUAAGAAUGACAUGCCCCUCGUCCACUUUCAUAGGUCUGUUUCUUUGGUAAGCCAUUUUCUGAUCUCGCAUAGAGGAUUUUAUUUUAUUGACUACUUUAAAAGACAUAGUAAAUCUAGUCUAUCUGGCAUUUUAUUGACCAAAAUAAUCUAGUAAAUGGCACUUCUGAGUUUACCAGGAAAAUCAUAGUUGACACUUCUAAUGAUGAUGGACAGAGGAGAAUAGGCUACCAGCCAAAAAGUCAGAUGGCAACCAAAGCACACUCCCAGAUUCAGGAAAUGUCAGAAAGUGACACUUUUGAAGAGAAUAAAACUCUCCUUAUUACAGGACUGCAAUAUGUGAUUCUGGGGGCAUUCUAAUACUAGAGAUUAAGGGACUCCCUUAAAUGUUAUUAAAGUGGAACUUUAGUCAGUGUACAUUUGAAAUGGUAACCUGUUUGGGAGAACAGUCUUCUAGGUUGACAUUUGAAGGGGUAUUGCCAUGGCAAAUGCACCCUAGAGGCAUGGAUCUAAACGGAAUCUAGGAAAGACAGAGUGCAGAGUAAGAAAUUCUUAUUACUUCUUUGCCAGGGCAGAGAUAAAAAUCACUGGGAUGCCGGAAGAGCUGUGGCAUUUCAAUAAGCCACCACUGCUCCACAGAAAUGACCAACAGGACACUCAACACCCCAUGUGCACAAAUCAGCCAUGGAAUCUUAAUUCGACUUCUUGAUAAAAGAGAUUAAGUUGAUGGAACCAUGCAAAUAUAGCAUUCAUUUUGGUAGCAAAUGAUGGCCACUAUAAAUUAGUAAAUUGACGUUCGGGUCCAGAUUUAUCUCAUGCAAGCUGGAUGGCCCCUGGGCAAAGCUGGGAUGUUCAUUCCUAAUUCACAUUAUGCAGUGAGGUCCAGCUUACACUGAUGUCAACUCCCUGCCUAACAGAAUUACCAAAGUAUUGAUGCCUCUGCUUUUGUUACCCAAGAAAGAUUAAAU